GGAUAACUCGGUAUUGGUAAACCAAACUACUUGCUAUGUAGUGACUUUCUGUCCUCAGUGUUCGAUUCACUGGUUGUCCG
rnacentral:tRNA from 1 species